AAUACCAGCACUAUCAUAUGAACCCCUUCUCAUAGCUGAAGCUGCACUUUGAAUCUUCCCAGGACCUUUCUUUUUCAGGACAGGAAGGAUGAGAGACUUAGCUUGUUUUGACUUGUCAAAUUCAUUCUGAGGAAGUGCAAAGAAAGUUGCAUCUGGAGGGGCACCCUCCCCCAAGAGAUGCAAAUGUUCAAACCGAGAAACACAUGUCAGAAU
rnacentral:misc_RNA from 1 species